UCCCUGGUGGUCCAGUGGUUAGGACCCUGCGCUUCCACUGCAGGGGGCCCGGGUUCAAUCCCUGGUCAGGGAA
rnacentral:tRNA from 1 species